CAACCAAAAGGCGAUGGGGUUCGCCUUGAUGCCCAGCCCACGGGCUGGAGCUGAUGACUCCUACGACAGU
rnacentral:ncRNA from 1 species